CUAGAAAAAUAGGCAUUGAACCCAUACCUGAGAAUUCAAAAAUCUCUGUGCUACCAAAUACACCAUAAUCUA
rnacentral:tRNA from 1 species